GAUGAACGCUGGCGGCGUGCCUAAUACAUGCAAGUCGAGCGAACAGAUGAGGAGCUUGCUCCCCUGACGUUAGCGGCGGACGGGUGAGUAACACGUGGAUAACCUACCUAUAAGACUGGGAUAACUUCGGGAAACCGGAGCUAAUACCGGAUAAUAUAUUGAACCGCAUGGUUCAAUAGUGAAAGACGGUUUUGCUGUCACUUAUAGAUGGAUCCGCGCCGCAUUAGCUAGUUGGUAAGGUAACGGCUUACCAAGGCAACGAUGCGUAGCCGACCUGAGAGGGUGAUCGGCCACACUGGAACUGAGACACGGUCCAGACUCCUACGGGAGGCAGCAAUAGGGAAUCUUCCGCAAUGGGCGAAAGCCUGACGGAGCAACGCCGCGUGAGUGAUGAAGGUCUUCGGACCGUAAAACUCUGUUAUUAGGGAAGAACAAAUGUGUAAGUAACUAUGCACGUCUUGACGGUACCUAAUCAGAAAGCCACGGCUAACUACGUG
rnacentral:rRNA from 1 species